rnacentral:rRNA from 1 species
UACGACUACAUAUCAGGCAUAUCAAUAAGCGGAGGAAAAGAAACUAACAAGGAUUCCCUUAGUAACGGCGAGUGAAGCGGGAAGAGCUCAAAUUUGAAAUCUUCAAGGUUUUACCUUGACGAAUUGUAGUUUAAAGAAGUGUUUUCUGUUGGAGUUUCGGUAAAAGUUCUUUGGAAUAGGACAUCAUAGAGGGUGAGAAUCCCGUAUUUGACCAUUAUUUUCAGCUUUGUGAUACACUUUCAAAGAGUCGGAUUGUUUGGGAAUGCAGUCCAAAAUGGGUGGUAAGUUUCAUCUAAAGCUAAAUAUUGGCGAGAGACCGAUAGCGAACAAGUACCGUGAGGGAAAGAUGAAAAGAACUUUGAGAAGAGAGUUAAACAGUACGUGAAAUUGUCAAAAGGGAAGCGUUUGACACCAGCGUUGUUUUCUCGAAAAUCAAUUAAAAAUAGUUGGAUUUUGUGUUGUAUUGACCUUAACAGCUUGCUUCACUCUUUUCCAGCUUUUUUUAAUGCACUUUUCGUUUAACAAGUCAACAUCAGUUUCUUUUGUUGUAAAAGGGUCAUUGGAAGGUGGCUUUCUCUUCGGAGAAAGUGUUUAUAGCCUUUGAUCUCUGCAAUCGGAGAGACUGAGGUCUGCAGCGUAGAUCCUUCGGGGUUAGAUACAUUUGUGCUAAGCUACAGCUUUUCAUAGACAACUUGUUGACUAUGUUUAGUCUUGUGACUUACCCGCUUAUGCUAUUUUACCUACGCUUAGGAUGUUGAGCGCAUGUCUCUCUCU